GGAGAGGUCGCCUAGUUGGUCUAUGGCGCCGCCCUGGAAAGGCGGUUUGGCGCAAGCCAUCGAGGGUUCGAAUCCCUCUCUCUCCG
rfam:Candidatus Magasanikbacteria bacterium RIFCSPLOWO2_02_FTLL_44_11 rifcsplowo2_02_scaffold_4785, whole genome shotgun sequence.